AUCUCCCUGUCUCCCUGUCUCUGUCUCUCUCUCUCUCUCUCUGGGUCUCUCUCUCUCUGUCUCUUUCUCUCUCUCUCUCUCUCUCUCUCUCUCUCUCUCUCUCUCUUCUGGUAUAGAAUGAUAAACCGUGAAAAGACUUGUAAGUCUCCCAUAGUUAGAUAAGCACAUUCAUUAUUAAAAAUGUACAUAAACUACCUAUUGAUGGUACAUUUUUGAAUAUUUUCGGACGUCACCAGUUUUGGUCAUCAGGACUCUGAUAUAAUUUUUUUCAUAAUCCUAAUUUACAACCUGAUUUAAAGCAGAUUUUAUGUUUCAUUCAUAAUAACCAAGAGGUCUGUGGAAUAAUGUUGCAUGUUGUAAAUGACUUUAAACUGUAUCUUGAUUUUUUGUGUUUUGUUGGGAACCAAACGGCCGCAGAACAUGUUCAGUUAUUAAAGAUAUGUGCUCACCUGUUGAUGAUUUGUAAAGUCUGCUGCUUCUAUUGUUUUAGUCCUCUUGUUUAUUGUGUACAUGUAAGGGACUAUUUUUCUGUCUUAUUUGUUAAUGAAGCAUAAUUGCAAUAAACAACUCAGUGGAUCCAACUGAAUGUUCUUGUUUGUUCAGCCGAUGAUUUCUCGUUUUAUUAGUAAAUAAUGCUUUCUCUGUGUCGGUUGUAGAAAGAAACCACAGACAGAGGGCUGGAUACACACUCUCUGUCUCCUUCUCGUCUCUCUCUCUCCAUCUCUCUCUCUCUCUCUCUCUCUCUCUCUCUCUCUCUCUCUCUCUCUCUCUCUCUCUCUCUCUCUCUCUCUCUCUCUCUCUCUCUCUCUCUCUCUCUCUCUCUCUCUUCUGGUAUAGAAUGAUAAACCAUGAAAAGACUUGUAAGUCUCCCAUAGUUAGAUAAGCACAUUCAUUAUUGAAAAUGUACAUAAACUACCUAUUGAUGGUACAUUUUUGAAUAUUUUCGGACGUCACCAUCUUUCUUAAGACCCGGCAGUAUUUUGGUUUUUUUCGCCUAUACACAUACCCAAAUGGAAAAGCUUAUAACACAGUAACCCUAAGUCCUAGAUGGAUGUAUGAUACUUCAUUUGAAAGCUGACAAGCUCUAGUUUCUGUAGAUAUGUAUUUGGCAUGUAUCAUACACACAACCUAAAUGACAUCAG
ensembl:lncRNA